CACAGGGGUGAUAUGGGAUGUUAAUGGUUAAAAUUUUGUAACACUUUUAGGAAAUCCAACAUAUGUGUACAGACUGGGAGAAGAACUCUCUGAGAGCAGCCCUAUGGAGGAAGACUUGGGAGUUCCAGUGGAUGAAAACCUUGAUGCAAGCCAACAGUUUGCACUCACAACAGCCAUCCCUAUUACUCUGAAAGAUGGAGGAAAAAGAUGGGCCACAAAGGGACCACCUUUCAGAAUCAGCGUGUUUUCUUGUUCUCUUACAAAACAAGGAAAAUGCCUUCCCAAACACUGCAUGACAACCCCGAAAAAGAAGCUCUGAAGAAUACAGAAAGGAUUUGCCUUUGGAGGUCUAUUGAGAUACACAGAAUUCAGAAUCAGCAUAUAACCUUUUUUUCCCUCAAACCCGUGAAUUCUAAAUUUAAUCACUGUCAAACAUUUUGAGAUUCUGAUUAGCUCUACUUCCAAGCAAUUUAAAUUAAAAAUGAGCCUAAGCACAUACCUGUGGGGUGUGGACAGGUAUCCUCCUGCAGAACUGGUUUAAGAAUAGCCAUUCUUGUCAAUUUAAUCUGACCCAGAUGGCUUUCCAUUGAGAUAGGCAACCACAUCAACCAUUCUGGCAUCUGAAGGCAGUAACUUCCUAAAGUGCUUCAAAGAGAUCCCCAAGAGAAAUAUCUCACUGAGUGCUCUGACACAAACCAUAGUCUCUUCACAGUCAGCUGUUUAAAUGAAAAAUCAUCAUUUAAAAAACAAACAAGCAAAAGCAAAAACACCAAAAAGUCAGAUCAGACAAUCGUGUAAUUCAAAAUCUGCACUUUGAAAAUGUCUGACCUGAAAGGCAUGUUCCUCAAAAACAGCGUUUUCAUCUCUCUAAAUCUAUUUUACAGACCUAUUGUCUUUGUUAAUGAUUUUUAAAUAUUGUUAACUAAAGCUAUCAACUCGGUUUGUUUUAUGGCACAGACCCACAAAAGCUCCUGCUCAUUUUAAUCAGCAACGAGAUUGGGCCAUUUAUAUCUGUAUAGAUGUGUGUCUUUAGGAAUGGGAAAAAAACUGGUAAUUAAAAAGGGAGUAAGUUGGUGUUGGAUGUGUUGGUCUCUGUAGUUCAGCUUGGAUCAAAGGACUUCAGGUGGCAAAGAAGUUCAUGUCCAGUUUCCAAUUCACUUCAUUGCUCUUCCCCAAGCAUUAGCAGCACAUUUGGAUAUCAGAUGGGAUGCCAGAUUGUGUUUAGAAACUCUGGUGAAGAGGAUAUGUAAAGAAUCCCACUCUAACCUCUGUGAACAACCUAUCAAAAUAGUUGUUCAGGUUGCAGUCCUCCCCAGGGUCUUUACACAAAUAUUCACCAUGUGUUGUUCUUCUCAUUUUUCUUGAGUCCCCUGAUACUGUAGUCCAGGUAGCCAAACUGUAGUCAGUCUCAGUAGGAUGCAAUUGGUAGGCAUUGCAUGUUAUCUCUAAAGAGAAAGCAUCGUGGUACCUCUGCCUCCUCUGUAAGCAGUGAUAACAAGAGCACCCCUUUUAUCUAGGCUUGGUCAGCUUUCAAUCUAUGUAUCCCUUGUAGCUGUGGUGAUUACUUCUACAGUUUUCACAAAGAGUACUUAAGAAAGGCAAGCUUGUUCCCAACAAGUUUAAACUCAGUAUACAAGAAAAUAAUAUAAAAAAAAGACUGAGAGUCAGUAAGCUAGGACUUUUAGGGCCAAUGAGCAUUUCCUUCUUUCAAGAUAUUGAUACAAAAAGAAGAAAAAGAUAUUGCAACUUUCCUGACAUGAUUGAACUUUCUGAACGAGAGAUCAAUAGGGUUUCAGACAGCUUCCCUGUCAAUCUGAUCUCACUAGGGGAGGAGGUGGAAUUACUCUUCGUAUGGGCCUUUGACCCUCAACAGAAGGUCAUUAGCACGAGGAUUGAUUCUGCUUUUUCCUUGCCCAUAGGAUUCCGCCUUCUGCACACUAAUGCUCCGCAAUGCCUCUGGCUCUGCAGAUCAGAGGAUAGGUGCAUUGUGAGACAGGAAGCAAAGGCAAUCAUGUCCUGCUUGCAAUCCUGCUCUUCACGGACCAGAAAGGCCUUGCAGAUACAGCUGACUUAGCUCCAGAAGGCAGGAGAGUGGCAAAAAUAGGAAAAAAUUAUUAAUUUCUGUGCAGAACAGAAAUAAACAAAUAAAUACAUUGUAUUUGUUAUUUUGAUUUUGGGGUUACUCUGCAGAUGACAGCAACUAUGGGUGUAAGACAGAACAUUUCUUGAGGAAUGAAACAGAUUGUCAGUAGCCAUAUUAUCUAAUAUAAUCUACAUGCAUAUAAUACAUAUAAUCUACAUGCAAAAGAUAUACAUGUUCAUUCUUCUCUUCCGAGAUCAACAGGCCGGAACAAAUGAAGUAUAUCAACAAUCCACAGAACUGCAGUAUUAACUCUUUAGCUCCCAGUGCACUGAAUGAUAUUAUGAUGUGGAAUACCGACGAAAAACCAUGAAAACAUGACAAUAAGGAAAGAAACGUUUGCCUUAAAAGCAUCGUUGUAAGAGACAAAGCAGGUAUAAGUGCUGCUGCCUCCAUGCUUUAGACUACUUCUCACUCUUUACACCGAUAAUAACAUCACUAAUUGUCCACCUUCCAGUGCUGUCUACAAUAUGUAUUUGAGGUUCCUCUUCCCUAUGACUUAAUUUGUACCUUAUAUGCUCCCCUCAAAAUCAUCUCAAAACAGCCUCUAAUAAUUUUUGUGGCCAAAUGGCAAAAAUUAUAAUUAGCUCAUCCUGUUACUGCCUCAUAGUGUGCACUUCCUUGGUGUCUGUAACCUGAUCUUCUCCCAGUUAGACUUCUCCCUCUACAAUUUCUCCUGCAGUGGAGCUUUGAAGACUCCUACUCAUCUUUUCUGACCUAACACUCAGUCUUAUUCCCUCUAUGUUUGCCUCUGAAUAAAUCAUAUUGGUAAAUACAAAUUCAUCUACCUGCUCAAGGUUGAUGAUCCAUCCACAGAAAUCUCUCAUUUCCUCCAAACUAAACCGUUUGUUAUGUUGACAUUUCCUCUUACUACUUUGACUUAAGACUUAAAGCUGAAAUGCAAUAUGUCCAAAGAAGAAUCUUGUCUUUCUCCUUGUUAGUGGAGAGCUUUAUCAUUGUGGGAAAUGCUACAAAGAUUCAAAAUCAGGAAUUUUCUCAGAAUUGACCUCUUUCUCCUUGUCUACUUCACAGUUCUCUCUGCAUAGCACUUCUUUCACAGUUGAAACUUAUAACUGCAUCACUCACUAUCUUAUUACUUACUUUCCACAAUAUUAUUUUCUCUGACUUUGACAAAUACCAUCUUGCAUUGCUUCUAGUCUGUCAGCUGCAAAGUUAGUUUUCUUAGCUCAUUGUUUUGAUUAAGUCAUUCUUCUCCUUGUAUCCUACAACAACAAUCGUAAGCUACUCAGAGGGCUUUCAAGACUUUGUGACUGAUCUAUCCUUACUCAUUUACUGUAUUUUCACAGUUAAAGGCCACAUUCAAGUAAAGAGCCAUACCUCAGAUUCCUCUCCACACAUCACUUAAAUAUAUCAGUUUCAAAUAUCCAGUCAUAUCUGCAGCGAGACUGCUAGCAACUGAACAUUAAAAUGCAGCUUGCUUGGUAUUUUCUGCAGGCUGUGCUGUGGAACAGCCUUUUCUACCUCAACCAGAAGUCAUGUGAUAUCAGACAGCUCAAGUCAAAGGUUAUGAUGAAGAUUAUUAAUGAAUUAUACAAAUACUUCAGUAAGCCAGUCAUACCAUGAAUUUGCUGACCUAAUCUCAAAACCAGCCAACCAAACAUAACCCUAUAUUCUCGAUAUUUCCAGCUGUGGUAUAUAUUUCCUUACUGUUGCAUAAAUGAGAGGCAGAUAUGCUCUUACCUAAGAUGCCUGCUUUGUAAAUAUGUGAGUUUCACUAUUGACCUCAGUAAGACUAGGAUGGAUUAUAUAUUUAAAACUCAGUUUUGAACUAAAAACUGUACCCUAGAAAAUUGUGCAAGAAUGUGCAGCCUUUCUUCUAGAAUCAGGACUUCCUGACAGUGACAAAUCUUCUCUUGAUCAUGACCUUAUUGUCAUUUUCUACUGUAUGAAGCGUUGCCACAUUCAACUCCUUAGGGUAUAGAGGUCCCGACCUCUCUGAGAGCCAACAGCCAUCAGAUUGUCCCACACUUUUGAUUUUCUCAUUAUUUGCCUUUGUUGGAACAAAUUCAUCCAAGUCUUCAGAACUUAAUUCCUCUCCAUCAGCUAUCAGUUAAAGCACAUGGCUUCUUUCCAGCAGUACAAAUCAAACCUUCCAUUGACUCAGUGGUAGAUUUUUCUCUCACUAGUAAUUACAAAGCAAGUGGUGAAUGCAAGCAUGAGAAAGAUGUUUAAAAUAACCUUUAAAUUAGAUGGGGAAAAAAAAUUAAGAAAAUCAAGAACUCAAGUGAAGGAGGGUUUUUUAUUAAUCAGUAUAGUUUAAAGUAAAAUUAAAGGAAGAAAGGGUUUAACUUUAAGACUGUAAAAAGAUAUAAAGAAAGGACUACUAGGGCUAAAUGUAAUUAAAGAGAGACCAGGAUAAAGAUAAAUUCUAAAUAUUGAUGCUAAAAUAAAAUAAAAUGGACAUCUGUUGUCUUAAAUUCCUUAGGUUCACACCCAUUCAGUGUUUUAUUCAUGGUUAGAGACGUAUUAAGGCAAAGAUUGUAACAUGUGCCUGUAUGUAUCAUGCCCUUCUAGAACAUAAAAUCUUCAUUGUAAGCUUUGUAUCUUCCAUAAAUCUUCUAUUAUAGUUCUUGAAGAAGGGGUAGCAGCUACGAAAAUCUGUGUUGUCAAUGAAUUCCAAAAUAAAAUGUUCCAUACUUUGAUAAAAUAUUUUUUCUUUUGGCUUUAGAGUAUCUGUAACCUACCUGCAAUGUGUU